ensembl:lncRNA
GUUAGGGGCCCCAUUUUUGGACUUGGAACUUUGAGGAGUGUAAAUAUUCUAAAUCUGAGCCUGGCACUCCAUCUUGUUACAAAGGUAUAUGUGUCAAGGGCAACUACGUGCUACAACUACCGGACCAGCCACAGCUAGAGUCCCUGUGCCCCCAUGGAAGAUCCCGCAUGGCACAAUGAAGACCCUGUGUGCGACAACCAAGACCAACACAGCUGAAUGAACCAUUUUAAAAAGAGAGACAGAGAGACCUAAAGAACUUGCUUGCCCCUUUCUCCAUGCAUGGACACAGUGAGAAACUCCCAGUCAUGAACCAGGAAGGGGUCCCUCACCAGAUCACCACCAUGCUGGCACCCUGAUUUUGGAUUUCCAGCCUACACAAUGGUGAGAAAUAAGAUUCUGUUGUUCAAGACAAUUUCUCCAAAGAAGACAUACACAUGGCCAAUAAACAUGAAAAGAUGCUCAACAUCACUCCUUAUUAGAGAAAUGCAAAUCAAAGCUACAAUGAGAUAUCACCUCACACUAACCAGAAUGGCCAAAAAAUCUACAAGCAAUAAAUGCUGGAGCGGCUAUGGAGAAAAGGGAAUCCUCUUGCACUGUUAGUGGCAGUUUAAAUUGGUUCAGCCACUAUGGAGAACAGUAUGGAGAUUCCUUAACAAACUAGGAAUAAACUACCAUGUGCUUAUAUGCAUGCCG